AACAUAGCCUAGUUGCAGGCUGAAUGCUACAUCUUGGAGGUUCCUGGAGGGUCCAAUCCUAUCUGGAGAUGUCCAGAAUCCAUGGCACCAUGUCAGCUCAGUGCAGCGUCCCGUCAGCUCCACUCAUC